CAAUAGCGUAUAUUAAAGUUGUUGCAGUUAAAAAGCUCGUAGUUGGAUUUCUGGGGCAAGCUCCUGGUCCGCCGCCUUUGUGCGGUGCUGACUGAGUGCAGCGUUGUCUCAUCCUUGUGGGAAUUCCGGUUUGGGCUUCGUUGUCCGGCCGGCGGAACCGCAUCUUUUACUGUGAAAAAAUUAGAGUGUUCAAAGCAGGCCUAUGCUCUGAAUAGGUUAGCAUGGAAUAAUAGAAUAGGACUUCGGUACUAUUUUGUUGGUUUCUAGGACCGAAGUAAUGAUUAAUAGGGACAGUUGGGGGCAUUCAUAUUUCAUUGUCAGAGGUGAAAUUCUUGGAUUUAUGAAAGAUGAACUUCUGCGAAAGCAUUUGCCAAGGAUGUUUUCAUUAAUCAAGAACGAAAGUUAGGGGAUCGAAGAUGAUCAGAUACC
rnacentral:rRNA from 1 species